GGGUCUUUAACGCUCUAACUCUAACAGCUACGGGCGGUUGGGAUUGCAGUGCAGCUGUCGAGCAGGUAUACAGGUUAUUCAUUGCUAUUGUCCUGAUCCCAUAUCCAGUUUUAGAAAUAUUUCAUUUAGUAAAGCCAGCAUCGAAACGACUGCUGAGAAAUUUCUUGUCUCCGCCGCAGACGAAGAAAAACAGCUAACACGUCAGUGUCGGCCCAAGCGCUCACGAGUAUGCAUCAUCUACGGACAGCAAUCGCAUUGAUAGGGCCGAGUUCCAAGCUGUGCAGCAGAGCAAAGAAGCCAGAAUAAAACGAAGACUUGAAAAAAAAACAGGCUGAAGCCAUCGACAAUGCUGAAGGAUGUGUGCUGUAUGGAGCUGGAAUUGAUGAUUCUGUAUAAUUUCCGGCCGAGU